GACGAACGCUGGCGGCGUGCCUAACACAUGCAAGUCGAGGGUAGCAAUACACUGGCGCACGGGUGAGUAACGCGUAGGUAAUCUGCCCUUAUCCCAGACAUAACAUCGAGAAAUUGGUGCUAAAAUCUGAUGAGGCCUGAGGGUCAAAGUAUUCGUACGGAUAAGGAUGAGCCUGCGUCUGAUUAGCUAGUUGGUAAGGUAAUGGCUUACCGAGGCAACGAUCAGUAGCUGGUUUGAGAGGACGAUCAGCCACACUGGAACUGAGACACGGUCCAGACUCCUACGGGAGGCAGCAGUGAGGAAUUUUGCACAAUGGGGGCAACCCUGAUGCAGCGACGCCGCGUGCGGGAAGACGGAGCUUUGCUCUGUAAACCGCUGUCGUAUGGGAAGAGAAGAUUCU
rnacentral:rRNA from 1 species